UACGAAGGGAGCUAGCGUUGUUCGGAAUCACUGGGCGUAAAGCGCACGUAGGCGGAUGUGUCAGUCAGGGGUGAAAUCCCGGAGCUCAACUUCGGAACUGCCUUUGAUACAGCACGUCUUGAGUCCGAUAGAGGUGGGUGGAAUUCCUAGUGUAGAGGUGAAAUUCGUAGAUAUUAGGAAGAACACCGGUGGCGAAGGCGGGAUCCUGGGCCAGUACUGACGCUGAGGAGCGAAAGCGUGGGGAGCAAACAGG
rnacentral:rRNA from 1 species